GAUGAACGCUGGCGGCGUGCCUAAUACAUGCAAGUCGAGCGAACAGAUAAGGAGCUUGCUCCUUUGACGUUAGCGGCGGACGGGUGAGUAACACGUGGGUAACCUACCUAUAAGACUGGGAUAACUUCGGGAAACCGGAGCUAAUACCGGAUAACAUUUGGAACCGCAUGGUUCUAAAGUGAAAGAUGGUUUUGCUAUCACUUAUAGAUGGACCCGCGCCGUAUUAGCUAGUUGGUAAGGUAACGGCUUACCAAGGCGACGAUACGUAGCCGACCUGAGAGGGUGAUCGGCCACACUGGAACUGAGACACGGUCCAGACUCCUACGGGAGGCAGCAGUAGGGAAUCUUCCGCAAUAGGCGAAAGCCUGACGGAGCAACGCCGCGUGAGUGGUGAAGGGUUUCGGCUCGUAAAACUCUGUUAUUAGGGAAGAACAAAUGUGUAAGUAACUGUGCACGUCUUGACGGUACCUAAUCAGAAAGCCACGGCUAACUACGUG
rnacentral:rRNA from 1 species